GGUAGAGAAUACCAAGGCGCUUGAGAGAACUCGGGUGAAGGAACUAGGCAAAAUGGUGCCGUAACUUCGGGAGAAGGCACGCUGAUAUGUAGGUGAAGUGAUUUACUCAUGGAGCUGAAAUCAGUCGAAGAUACCAGCUGGCUGCAACUGUUUAUUAAAAACACAGCACUGUGCAAACACGAAAGUGGACGUAUACGGUGUGACGCC
rnacentral:rRNA from 1 species